rnacentral:rRNA from 1 species
UACGGGGGGAGCAAGCGUUGUUCGGAUUUACUGGGCGUAAAGGGCGGGUAGGCGGCUACCGCAAGUCAGUUGUGAAAUCUCCGGGCUUAACCCGGAAAGGUCAACUGAUACUGCGGGGCUAGAGUGCAGAAGGGGCAACUGGAAUUCUCGGUGUAGCGGUGAAAUGCGUAGAUAUCGAGAGGAACACCUGCGGCGAAGGCGGGUUGCUGGGCUGACACUGACGCUGAACUGCGAAAGCUAGGGGAGCAAACAGG